UGUUUAUGUUAUUUGAAUAAGCCAUUCAAAUAACAUAAAAAAGAAAAUAGAUAUUGACAUGGAUUAAACAAAGAUAUAUAUUAUUCUAUGUUGCAUAAACAAAUUGGCAAAGUAGAGAUGGAAGAUAAAAAUAUGGUCAAAGUAAUAAGAGUCUAUGGUGAAUGCCUAGGA
rnacentral:misc_RNA from 1 species